rnacentral:rRNA from 1 species
GACGAACGCUGGCGGUGUGCUUAACACAUGCAAGUCGAACGGCAACGCCCUGCUUUUGUGGGGUGCUCGAGUGGCGAACGGGUGAGUAACACGUGAGUAACCUGCCCUUGACUUUGGGAUAACUUCAGGAAACUGGGGCUACUACCGGAUAGCAGCUCCUGCUCCAUGGUGGGGGUUGGAACGUUUCGGCGGUUGGGGAUGGAUUCGCGGCUUAUGGGCUUGCUGGUGGGGUAGUGGCUUACCAACCCUUUGACGGGUACCCGGCCUGGGAGGGUGACCGGCGACAUUGGGACUGAGAUACGGACCAGACUGCUACAGGAGGCAGCAGUGGGGAGUAUUGCACAGUGGGCGGAAGCCUGAUGCAGCAACGCCGCGUGCGGGAUGACGGCCUUCGGGUUAUAAAACGCUUUCGCCUGUGACGAAGCGGGAGUGACGGUAAUGGAUGAAGAAGCACCGGCUAACUACGUG